CCUACGGGAGGCAGCAGUGAGGAAUAUUGGUCAAUGGACGGAAGUCUGAACCAGCCAUGCCGCGUGCAGGAAGACGGCUCUAUGAGUUGUAAACUGCUUUUGUACAAGGGUAAACCUGAAUACGUGUAUUCAGCUGAAAGUACUGUACGAAUAAGGAUCGGCUAACUCCGUGCCAGCAGCCGCGGUAAUACGGAGGAUCCAAGCGUUAUCCGGAUUUAUUGGGUUUAAAGGGUGCGUAGGCGGAUUGAUAAGUUAGAGGGGAAAUGUCCGAGCUCAACGCGGGAACUGCCUGGAAUACUGUUGAUCGAGAGAGUAGAUGCGGUAGGCGGAAUGUAUGGUGUAGCGGUGAAAGGCUGAGAGAGCAUACAGAACACCGAUUGCGAAGGCAGCUUACCAAUCUAUAUCUGACGUUGAGGCACGAAAGCGGGGGGAGCAAACAGGAGUAGAUACCCGAGGAGUC
rnacentral:rRNA from 1 species